AAAAUAUUGAAAAGGAAAAAUACUUCGAAGAUGAACCUGUUCCCAUGCAAUAGUCAAGAAUUCUUGACGGUAUCGAGCUGGAACAACUUGUUCUUCCUGAAUAUCCCGAUUUAAGGUUAAAGAAUUUCCUGCCACUACCAUAUAGUAUUCAUCGCUACCUGGUGAUAAAUAAAGCAUCCGUACCCCGGUUGACCUCUCAGAAAUUUCAUAAAAAGGGCUAUCUAGAGAUCCCCAAUGACCAAUCCUCGCAUGAAUUGCUAAGGAUCCAAUAAGUCCAACAUUGAUUCCUUCAGAUGUGUCAAUUGGGCAAAUAUGUCCAUAGUGACUAGGAUGGAUAUCUCGUAUUCGAAAACUAGCAGUGCGACCNGCUUUCUAGAGAUCCCCAAUGACCAAUCCUCGCAUGAAUUGCUAAGGAUCCAAUAAGUCCAACAUUGAUUCCUUCAGAUGUGUCAAUUGGGCAAAUACGUCCAUAGUGACUAGGAUGGAUAUCUCGUAUCCGAAAACUAGCAGUGCGACCUGUCAGUCCUCCAGGGCCCAAAUAACUUAAUUUUCUCCCAUGAACUAUUUGGGUCAAUGGAUUAGUUCGAUCCAAAACUUGAGAUAAUGGGUGUAACCCGAAAAAGGAUUCAUAAGUAGUUGUUAAUGGAGGUGAGGUUACCAAAUUCUGAGGUGUCAGUAUCAAUUUAUGCCGGAUUGCUCCACAUAUAGUCCCUCGAACCACAUUUUCUAAAUGAACCAGAGCCAAUCCGNACCCGAAAAAGGAUUCAUAAGUAGUUGUUAAUGGAGGUGAGGUUACCAAAUUCUGAGGUGUCGGUAUCAAUUUAUGCCGGAUUGCUCCACAUAUAGUCCCCCGAACCACAUUUUCUAAACGAACCAGAGCCAAUCCGAAUUGAUCUUGUAAAAGAUCUGCUACAGAACGAAUACGUUUAUUUUUCAAAUGAUUCAUAUCAUCAAGUGCACCCAUUCCAAAUUUCAGUCCAAUCAAAUGAUCGGCGGCUGCCAAUAUAUCUCGUGGUAACAAAAAUGUAUUGUUCUGGGGUAUAUCAAGGUUCAGUUUUCGGUUCAUAUUUCGUCGACCAAUCCUUCCUAAUUCACAUCUUUGUUGAAAGAAUUUCUUUUGUAAUUUCCUUACAUAAGGAUUCAAAAAAUACCGGAUUGCCACCUACACAAGCAAAUUGUUGAUAAAACUCCAAAAUGGAAUUUUCUUUUGACCCAAUUUUUUUUCUCUCCUUAUCAUUCAGAAAAGACAAAAAAAUUUCAGGAUAGCAAACAUUCUCUAGAAUUUCUCUUAGAUUCAAACCCAUAGCUGAUGAUAGAACUAGAAUAGAUAUUUUUUGUUUCCUACUUACACGAGCCCAUAUCCUUGCUUUUCUAUCAAUUUCUAAUUCUGAUCUUCCUCCCCAAUCUGAUAUUAUGGUACCGGUAUAGACCGAAAUUCCGUUAUGGUCCAAUUCUGAUCGGUAAUAAAUACCGGGACUUUGCAAUAUUUGAUUGAUCACAAUUCUAUAUAUUCCAUUGACUAUAGAAGUUCCCAGGGAAUUUAUUAGAGGAAUGUUUCCGAUAAAAAUUGUUUGUUCUUGCAUAUCCCUACUGUUUUUCCAAAUUAAUCCCGCGGAUACGUAUAAUUCAGAAGAAUAUGUGAGUGAUUCAUACACAGCAUCUCUUUCCUUUAUCAAGGGUUCGACCAAUUGAUAUGUUUCCACAAAUAAUUGAAAUUCAAUUUCUUGAUCUGUAUCUUCAAUUUUUGGAAACUUAUAAAGUUCUUCUGUCAAACCUUGAUCAAUGAACCUACAAAAUCCUUCAAAUUGUAUCUGAUUAAAUCCAGGUAUUGUAGAUAUUCCCUCAUUUCCAUCCCCGAGCAUUUUAAAUUUCCCAUUUAGCAAAAAAUCCCACUAUUGGUUCAUUCUGCAUCUAAUUAGAUAGAUUAGAUAAAUGAUCUAGCAAUGAUGGCAUUUCUAUUUUGUUUACCGAAUCACAUUAAAUUUUACCCAACUCCAUAUCUGGAAUGUAUGAAAUACGUAUGAACGGAGGAAGAAAGAGAAUUUUCUACUUAAAUUGAAUUGAAUUGGAAUUUUCAACAGAUACAAAUGGAAAGAAAUUGAUAAAACAUCCCUAGAAACCGACUUCUGCUACUUAGACUUAUUAAUUAAGUUAUAGAAUUUUGUAUAGAAUAUAAAAAGAAAAAUGAUUCCAUUUCUACCAUUAUUAUGAUAAUACAUAUUCCAACCUGCUUGAAUACCAGAAAAAUAAAUGGAUUGGACAUUUGAUCUUUUCGCUGAGAUAAAGGCAUAAAAAUCAGAAAGAAUAUAUAGAAUUCGAAUUGGUUUUUUAGCAUUUAACCGCCCCUUAUGUUAUGGAUUUCGUUGUUCAAAACAAAAAAGGAUUCGCAGAGAAGAGAGAGAUUUUGUUUACGAAUUUUUGAGUAGAAUACGAUUGUGAAGUGUAUAAUAAAAGAAGGUUUGUAUGGCUUAAACACGUGUGGAGAUAUCUAGAAUAUCUAUCUUUCUUCUCUUUUAUUGUUUUAUUGUCGUUCUAUGUUCUAUUCGGGGCAACACGGGUUGUGCUCUCCGAAAACAGAAUUUCCAUUUUCUAUUCAAUUCCAAAUUCAAAUUGAAGUAUGAUACUUUUCUGAUAUCUGAUAAUUCUAUAUCGGGAACAUAUAUAAAUAAUAUAUAUCCGUCUAACAAUUUAUCUUGGGGGGUUUACAUAUACUCAUAAUUGUUGUUAUAAUUAUUAUUAAUAAUGAAAAUUGAGAGGGAUUUUUUGAUUGAAAAAAUCCAUGAAAAAAUCCAUACUGAUUAGUUCUAUAUCAUAUAUCAAGUUGUAUUUUCUUAUGUCAUUAGGAAACCAAAAUUUGGAGAUUCAAAUCCAAGAAUCAUUCAUGCAUUCUAAGUCAAUAGUUAAUGGGUCCUAUUUUCAGAAAGUUGAAUUUUGUAUUUUGCGACUGAAAAUCCACAUUUGAUUUUUCAAUAGAAAGGUAAGAGAAAGUUUUGA
rnacentral:lncRNA from 1 species